UACGGAGGGGACUAGCGUUGUUCGGAAUUACUGGGCGUAAAGCGCACGUAGGCGGCUCAUGAAGGCUGUGGUGAAAGUCCGGGGCUCAACCUCGGAUCGGCCGUGGCGACUCGUGGGCUGGAGCACUGUAGAGGCGGGUGGAAUUCCGGGUGUAGCGGUGGAAUGCGUAGAGAUCCGGAAGAACACCAGUGGCGAAGGCGGCCCGCUGGGCAGUGGCUGACGCUGAGGCGCGACAGCGUGGGGAGCAAACAGG
rnacentral:rRNA from 1 species